rnacentral:rRNA from 14 species
CGUACCUUUUGUAUAAUGGGUCAGCGACUUAUGUUUAGUGGCGAGGUUACCCGUUUAGGGGAGCCGUAGGGAAGGUGGG